CACAGUCAGAGGAAAGAGAGCAGGGCAGCAGUGUUGAGUGGAGUGACUAACUCUGGAUUAGCAGUGAUCCUGGGCUCUCAGCCCAGCUCGGCCAUUACAGGCAGUAUCUUCACCUGUCAGGCUCUGGUUUACUCACUGGAUGCAAAAUGAAGGUGUGGGGCUGCUUCCGAGGUUUUCAGUCUGAAUCACCGGGACAGCUAAUGAGAUGAAGAUGGACAAGUUGAAGAAACGUCACAGGAGCCCAAGAGGCUGGCCAGAGAGCCCAGGACUCAGUUCCUCUGUGGGAAGGCACACACACUCUUUGGUCAAGAAACUUGGUCAGGAGGUCAGAAACAUGGGCCCUGCCCGAGCAGCAAGUCACCAUGACCCAGGCCAACCUGAGGACAAAGGCCUCAACUAUUCCUUGAACCAUGCUGAUAAUCAGGACAUUCCGAAGAAACAAGUGAUGUGGAUUUCAGUGACGGCCUACCUCCAGAAGACUUCCUUCAGCCUGAUGUCUUCCUCAAGACCAGCCAACCCCGAACCAUGAGCUGAUGGGGCCACGUGCAUUUCACAGGUUACUGACUGGGUGGGCUGAAUGAUGGCCCCCAAAGACAGCCAGGUCCUAACCCCUGGAACCUGUGAAUAUUACCCUACAUGGCAAAACGGACUUUGCUGGUGUGACUGAAAGCCCUUGAGUGGGGAGAUUAUCCCGGAUUAUUCAGAUGGAUCUUAAAUGUAAUCACAAGGGUCCUUCUAAAAGAGAGGCAGAGGAAGAUUUUACUACAGAAGACAAACAAAGCCAUAUGACAAAGGAAGCAGACAGAGAGAGAGAUUUGGAAAUGCUAUGCUGCUGGCUUUGAAGAUGGGUAAGAGGCCAAGAGCCAAAGAAUGCAAACACUGCAGCUCUGGAUGCUAGAAAGGGCAAGGAAAUGUAGAGCCCCUGCAGGCUCUGCUUACCCCUUAAUUUUGGCCCAGUGAAACUGAUUUCAGAUUUCUGAUCUGCAGAACUGAAAGAGAAUAAAUGUGUGUUGCUUUCAGCCACCAAGUUUGUGGCAAUUUGUUACAGCAGCCACAGGACGCUAAUACAUGACCCUUUACUCUCUGACUCUUGUACUCAGCACUUGGGAUCAAACAGUGAACCCGAUAAACCUCUACACCUCCCAGGGAAAUUGACCAUCUCUCUGUCUCUGGAUUUUAAAAAGGAACAGCCACGUAGACAUUUUAUCAAAGAUAUAUGAAUGGUCAAUAAACACAUGAAAAGAAAAUGCACAAAAUCAUUAGCAUUAGGGCAAUGAAAAUUAAAACCACAAUGAGAUACCACUUCAUACUCACUAGGAUGGCUAUAAUAAAAGACAAUAACAAAUGUCAAAAGUGUGGAAGAACUAUAAUUUUCAUAUAUUGCUGAUGAGAUUGUAACAUGGUACAACUGACUUGGAAAAUAGUUUGGUAGUUUGUUUGGUUUUUUGAGACGGAGUCUUGCUCUGUCGGCCAGGCUGGCGUGCAGUGGUGCAAUUUCGGCUCACUGCAACCUCUGCCUUUCAGGUUCAA
rnacentral:lncRNA from 10 species